ensembl:lncRNA
AUGAAGAACGGCAUUAAAUGUUUUUAUGUCACGAAAAGUACAACCCAGAUGGGCUGGCAAUACGUGUUGUAUGUAAAGUCAGCGAAUGUGGUUGAGAGGUUGCCCAAGUCACAAGAAGUUUGCAAGACUGCAGCAGCCAACAUUGAAAUGCAUAAAACUAGGAUCAGUCUAGGCUCGGUAUUCAAGGAAAAUGGAGGGCAGUUCCAAACAGGCUCUAGCACUUGCGUGCUCCAGAAGAGGCUUGCUUCCAACGUUCUGCCCUGUGUGAAGAAGAGAUGGCAAAACUCCUCGUGCUCCAGAAGAGGCUUGCUUCCAACGUUCUGCCCUGUGUGA